rnacentral:miRNA from 1 species
UAUGAGAAAGUUAUGGUG